rnacentral:lncRNA from 1 species
UCUUCCUUUAUUUUUCUUAUAGGUCACAAGACACUCAUUGAGACACAUUUAGUCCACUAUGUUUUCAAUUAGAAAAAGAUGGCAGCAGAGAAAGCAAAAGGAAUGCAAUGGCCACAUGGAAACGUCCACCUCCCAAUUAAAAUUUUCAUUUCAUACUCUUGAUUGAAAGCACAUAGUCCCUAAGGCGACCACACAAAUGAGAAAAGAGGACCUCUCCCAGUGAAAUAUAGAAUAUUCAUUUGCAGCUUCCUCUGACGUCCAAACCACUUGGGAGAUCAUUCUGUAUAGUUGACCAUCUGGUUCAGAAAAAGCCUGCCUUGAGUAAUCAUUCAAUCUCCUCGAUCAUCUUAGGCAUGGUUGCAACCAAAACUGGAGGAUGGCAGGAGCGGGGUCUUCUUUGAAGGGCGCCUAUUAACUACAGCUUGUUUUCAC